GCCCCGGUAGCUCAGUCCGGCAGAGCGGCGGGCUGCAGACCCGUAGGUCCCGGGUUCAAAUCCCGGCCGGGGCUCCA
rnacentral:tRNA from 4 species